UUUUAGAGGAUCUUACUGAGUCCAUUAUCAGAACAAGCACAAAUUAUCUCUCCUAUAUACCAAGAUGUUGCUAAAUGACAGCAGAAAUGAAAUUCUUAGAGAACCUAAGAUAAUCUAUAUUAUCCAAGUAAAAAACAUUUUCUGCAACUCAGUAAAUGCAUUUAUUGUCUAUCAUGUUUAGCCACAUUUGUAUCUUAUCCCCCUGCUAAAACUAUAAGCUCCAUAAGGCCCUGGAAAGAUCUUACCUAAACUCUGUAUCGCACUCUAGACAGCGUUUUGAACAUAGAAGGUUCUUUAAAAUAUUUGCUGAAUUACUAGUUAGAUCACUAAACAAGGGUCACUAUGUUGUAUUCAAAUACAUGUUUAUCAAAAUGAUAUUUUAAUCAUUUUGACUAUACACAUGGAUUUAUAAUUAAGUCAUGCUUUUGUUACUCUAAGAUGACAGAAAUUAAUGCAGCAUUGGUGAUGUUAGCAUCCCUAAUACUACCCAAAAGAAAAUGAUGGCAACAGACCCCAAAGUAACCAAAAUGUAGAAAACCCAAAUCAUAUUUGAACAUGUUAAAAAGAACAUCAAUUCAAAAAGUAUUUAUUAAGCACUUACUUCAGGCAAGACACUACAUUAGGCAACAGGGAUACAACAACGAACACAGUCCCUGCCCUUCCAGGAACCUACAAUACAAUGGAAGAUGAAGAUGAAACAUAUAUACAAAUAGGAAAGAAAUGUUGUUGUUUUGGGUUUUUUUUUCCAGGCAAGCGGGAGGAGGGAGUAGAAAUCACAGGGAUGAAAAAAGCAAAGGCAUUUGAAGCUUAUUUUCUCUUCUCUUGAAAUUUACACAAAAUUAACUUCACACCAGAAAACUUGUUAAGCAAGUAGAAUAAGGGGCAUCGGAAGAUGCAGGGGGAGCCAUCCCUCACCCAUCACAAAGUCAAGGUCAGCUAAGUCAAGUUCGGCGGCUCAGAGACCAUCCCACAACUGCAUUCGUAGUACCACCACCAACCCCCCAGACUCCGAUCUUCCUGGACUCACAUCUCCAAGGCUCAGGAAGGUGGGCGAGCAUCACGAGCAGGAAGCAAGCGAGAGGCAGAGCGGCAGUGGCAACUAAUCGAAUCCUCCGGCCCCGCCCUCCCGACCGGGGAACGCGCAGCCGAACCUGCUACCCAUCCGAGCGACGGCGACCCGGACCGCCUCAGCCAAUGGGGGAGCUCCUCCAAGUCCCGCCCCCGGCGAGGCCCGGCCCCUCCUGCUUCGGAGAGAACCUAUGCGGGUAGCGGCUCCCUUUCCUUCUCUCCCUACUUUUUCUCUCUCGCGCUCUCUAGAUUUCUCUCCUUCUCCUCCUCUCUUCGCCAUCGAUACUCACGCCCCCAGGACCUGAAUUUUUUUUUUCUUAUUUUACACACACACACCCCCACAAAACAUACACAUUCUCUUCAGACUCACCGCGGGGGCGCGCUUGCGAGCUCUCGCGGCGUCGCUCGCGCUAGGUUUGGUUGA
rnacentral:lncRNA from 1 species